UACAGAGGAGCCAAGCGUUGUCCGGAUUGACUGGGCGUAAAGCGCACGCAGGCGGGUGCGCGCGUGGGGUGUGAAACCGGGUGGCUUAACUGCCAGCGGCCAUCCCAUACGGCGCGCCUGGAGCCUUGCAGAGGGCGGUGGAAUUGCCGGUGUAGUGGUGAAAUGCGUAGAGAUCAGCAGGAGCACCCGUGGCGAAGGCGGCCCCCUGGGCCGUACCUGACGCUGAGGCGCGAAGGCUAGGGGAGCGAACGGG
rnacentral:rRNA from 1 species